CGGUGCCCAGUCGUGGGGGAUAACGCAGCGAAAGCUGUGCUAAUACCGCAUACGAUCUCUGGAUGAAAGCGGGGGACUCGCAAGAGCCUCGCGCGAUUGGAGCGGCCGAUAUCAGAUUAGCUAGUUGGUGGGGUAAAGGCCCACCAAGGCGACGAUCUGUAGCUGGUCUGAGAGGACGACCAGCCACACUGGAACUGAGACACGGUCCAG
rnacentral:rRNA from 1 species